UAUCCCACACUGGAUUCUGGGUGGAGGACACUGGCUCAAGGUCACCCUAGAUGAGUCGAUCACAAAGCUAGAUGUGGUGCUGGUGGCCCUAAAGGCUGAAGGCCAGGAUCUCCUGCUGGAGUUGGAGAAGAACCAUCCAAGGCUUUUCUGGAGUGAACAGUGCACAGUCUCUCCUAGCCUUUCCCUGAAGCAUGGUUGCCUCAUUCCAAGCUGCUCAACUAGCAUUCAGGCAGGGAGACGGAAAGGGAGCCUGGAGGAGGCAGGGCUAAAUUCAGUGACUCCUGGAACACUGCCCCCAGCAGG